UUUGCUUUCACCCUUAUUGUGGUCAGUAAUGGGUGAUUGGUACUUCUGAUGUUCCUCCCCUAAUCAUGUUUAGAAAAUAUAUGACAAAGGUUCCAAAUCAUUCAUCCUUCAGAGUGCUAUUAUUCGCAAUUGCUUCCAGUACGUAUUUAAUAAUUACUUCCACUCAGUAGCCACUCCUGCCAGCACCGCCGAAGCCACCCUGCUGGGAAGCUCCCACUGAUUAGGACAUCAGUAUGGCUUCAAGUGGAUCAAAGUUAUAUUGGACUCACUGCCGCCACCGAGGCCACCAGUGUUGCCCCCAGAGCCGAAGGCGUCGUUGUUACCUCCGCCGAAGCCGCCGGGGUUACCUCCAGAGCCACAGGAAAACGGGUUUAAUGAAUACAUACGACCGCCGCCGAAGCCACCAACGUUGCCGCCAGAGCCGUAAAGAUCGUUACCGCCGCUUCCACUAUAUGGUUAGUGAGCUCUAGUUGGGUGAUAACCUACCCAAAGCCGGAGUUACCCCCAGCGCCGUAAGCGUUGUUACCGCCACUGCCAGAUAAUCAAUCAGUACGUCACAUCACUGACUUCAACCGACUUACCCGAAGCCACCCCCGCUCUGGUUACCACCGAAGCCACCAGGUUGGCCACCGGAGACACCACCGGAACCGUAAGUAUCACCGCCGGAAGAGCCAUACGAGUCGUUGCCGGAAGAACCGAAACCGCUGCUACCGAGAGGCUGGCCACCGGAGCCGUAAGCGCCACCACCUUGGCCAGAGGACCCGUAUGAGUCGUUACCAGUGGAUCCGAAGCCACCAGACUGGCCACCAGAGCCGUAAGUAUCGCCAGCUCUGCCGGAGGAACCGAAAGAGUUAUCGCCCUGGCCACCGUCUUGACCGUAGGCUUGGCCGCUAGAGCCAUAGGAGUCGUUACCGCUUUGGUCGUAGUUGCUAGAGUCCUACCGCGGCAUGAGUUACUACCAAGAUAUGGCGACCGGAUGAAUGGAGUAUACGUACUUUGCCAGAAGAGUGGCCGUGGUGGCCAGUAACCUUGUCAGUGACCUUGUCCAAGAGCUAACAGACAUCAUGAGCCAUCGCUACAGAGGUUAAACAAACUGACUCACACCCAUAUUGAUAAUUCCUUUGUUGGUAGUUGUUGUGGGAGUAAUUAGCAGUAGCAGUAGUAUUGACUAGAGUUCGUGAAGGAUGAGAAGGCAAGUAGGGGGCCGGCAGGCUAUAUAUAUCUCUGAAGAGAGAUCCUUGCUCUCGUGUUUGGGACAAUUUACUUGACUGCGGCUAUUCAAGCAGUGAAUAG
rnacentral:sRNA from 1 species